rnacentral:tRNA from 1 species
UUGGGGUUGUAGUUCAGUGGUAGAGCACUUGCCUACUACACAGGAGAACUUGGGGUUCAAUUCCCAGCACUAAA